AUACGGAGGGUGCAAGCGUUAAUCGGAAUUACUGGGCGUAAAGCGCACGCAGGCGGUCAAUUAAGUCAGAUGUGAAAGCCCCGAGCUUAACUUGGGAAUUGCAUCUGAAACUGGUUGGCUAGAGUCUUGUAGAGGGGGGUAGAAUUCCACGUGUAGCGGUGAAAUGCGUAGAGAUGUGGAGGAAUACCGGUGGCGAAGGCGGCCCCCUGGACAAAGACUGACGCUCAGGUGCGAAAGCGUGGGGAGCAAACAGGAUUAGAUACCCUGGUAGUCCACGCUGUAAACGAUGUCGAUUUAGAGGUUGUGGUCUUGAACCGUGGCUUCUGGAGCUAACGCGUUAAAUCGACCGCCUGGGGAGUACGGCCGCAAGGUUAAAACUCAAAUGAAUUGACGGGG
rnacentral:rRNA from 1 species